CCGGAAGUUGGGUCUGUGUGGUGGUGGUGGUGGCGGGAGCCGGGGAAUUAAGGUGCUGGGCGAUGGCCAGCCGUGAGCGAUGACCAGGCUUCUGGCCGUGGCGCGCAGAGUUGCUUUGGCCGCCGUGCGCUGCAGCACCCACGGCAGCAGCGGCCUCAGCAUGUUUUAUGCCGUGAGGAGGGGCCGCAAGGCCGGGGUCUUCCAGACCUGGAGCGAAUGUAGAGCCCAGGUGGACCGGUUUCCUGCUGCCAGAUUUAAGAAAUUUGCCACGGAGGAGGAGGCCUGGGCCUUUGUCAGAAAGCCUGCAAGCCCGGAUGGCUCAGAAGGGACAGAAAAUAAGCAUGAACAAGAAUCACAGGUGAAAGUCAACAAGCGACUCCGUGAACCCUCGGAUGGAGAGGAAAACGCAGAGCCCUGUGUGAAGCAUGCGAGACAGAACGCAGAAUCCGUGCCUUCAGUUAACAAAGACUUGUUUUCUUAUAUGGGAGAGUUUGUCGUCGUCUACACUGACGGCUGCUGCUCCAGCAACGGGCGGAGGAGGGCACGAGCAGGGAUCGGCGUUUACUGGGGGCCGGGCCAUCCUUUGAACGUAGGCAUUAGGCUUCCCGGGCGGCAGACCAACCAAAGAGCAGAAAUUCAUGCAGCCUGCAAAGCCAUCGAGCAAGCAAAGGCUCAAAACAUCAAGAAGUUGGUUCUAUAUACGGACAGUAUGUUUACUAUAAAUGGUAUCACUAAUUGGGUUCAAGGCUGGAAGAAGAAUGGGUGGAAAACGAGCACAGGGAAAGAGGUGAUCAACAAGGAGGACUUCAUGGCGCUGGAGCAGCUCAUCCAGGGCAUGGACAUCCAGUGGAUGCAUGUUCCUGGUCAUUCGGGAUUUAUAGGCAAUGAAGAAGCUGACAGAUUAGCAAGAGAAGGAGCUAAGCAAUCAGAAGACUGAACGAAGUAAUUUUAAUUCUUGGAAAAACUUGACAUGAAAAGCCCAAGGAGUCUUUCCUUCUUUCUUACAAGUCAUGUCCCCUUUUUGCUUCAAUGUCCCGAGGUUUGGUUUCCUGCUUCUCCAGUCCGAAGUUGUGUUAGACUGUGUCGUGUGUUGGUCGCCCUGGGUCAGUGUUUGCAGGAGCACACUUUAUGGAGGUGUGCUUGACGGACAGCAAAUGGCACGUAUGUAAAGUGAGCUAUGGAUUCCCCUGUGAAGUCCCCGCCAGAACUGCGUGUCACCCCCCGCCGGGGUUUUCUCAUGCCCCUUUGAAAUCCUUCCCUCCCUGACCCCAUCCCCAGACAACAACCGAUCUACUUCCUGUCACUAUAGAUUAAUUUGUAUUUCCUAGGAUUUUAUAUAAAUAGAGUCCUACAGUAUAAACUCCUUUUCAGUCAGGAGCUUCUUUCACUCUGUAAUUAUUUUGGCAUUCACGCACGCUGUGUCUAUCAGUAGUUCACUCCCUUUUUAUUGCUGAGGAGUAUCCAUUGUAUGGGUAACCACAGUUUGUGCGCCCAUUCUCCUGUUCAUGGAUAUUUGGUCGUCCCCGGUGUGGGGCUGUUGUAAAUAAAGCUGCUGUGAACAUGUA